AGAGUUUGAUUCUGGCUCAGAACGAACGCUGGCAGCGUGGAUUAGGCAUGCAAGUCGAACGAGAAGUUCACUGUUCAAUCUUCGGAAAGUUCAGUGAAUGGAAAGUGGCGGAAGGGUGAGGAACACGUGGGCAACCUGCCCUCAAGUUCGGGACAACCAUUGGAAACGAUGGCUAAUACCGGAUGUGGAUUUCUGUCGCAUGACAGGACAUCUAAAGCUGGGGAUUCUUCGGAACCUGGCGCUUGUGGAGGGGCCCGCGUCCCAUCAGUUAGUUGGUAAGGUAACGGCUUACCAAGGCUAUGACGGGUAGCUGGUCUGAGAGGAUGGUCAGCCACACUGGGACUGAGACACUGCCCAGACUCCUACGGGAGGCUGCAGUCGAGGAUCAUUCGCAAUGCGCGAAAGCGUGACGAUGCGACGCUGCGUGGAGGAUGAAGGCUUUCGGGUUGUAAACUCCUGUCAUGAGGGAAAAGUAACCUGGCGAUUAAUACUCGCUAGGAUCGAUGGUACCUCAAGAGGAAGCCACGGCUAACUCUGUGCCAGCAGCCGCGGUAAUACAGAGGUGGCGAGCGUUGUUCGGAUUUACUGGGCGUAAAGGGUGCGUAGGUGGUAAUGUAUGUCGGAUGUGAAAUCCCAUGGCUCAACUGUGGAACUGCAUUCGAAACUGCAUAACUAGAGUGCAGGGGGGGAGAGCGGAAUUCUUGGUGUAGCGGUGAAAUGCGUUGAUAUCAAGAAGUACACCGGCGGCGAAGGCGGCUCUCUGGAAUGUUACUGACACUGAUGCACGAAAGCUAGGGGAGCAAACAGGAUUAGAUACCCUGGUAGUCCUAGCUGUAAACGUUGUGAACUUGGUGUUGGCGGUAUUGAUCCCGCCAGUGCCGGAGCUAACGCAUUAAGUUCACCGCCUGGGGAGUACGGUCGCAAGACUAAAACUCAAAGAAAUUGACGGGGGCCCGCACAAGCGGAGGAGCAUGUGGCUUAAUUCGAUGCAACGCGAAGAACCUUACCAGGGCUUGACAUCGUGACCCUUCGGGGGUGGAAGCGAAAGCUUCCUUUACAAUGACAGGUGCUGCAUGGCUGUCGUCAGUUCGUGCCGUGAGGUGUUUGGUUAAGUCCAGCAACGAACGCAACCCUUGUGGUUAGUUGCCACUCCCGAUUAACGUCGGGAAGCACUCUAGCCAGACUGCCUGUACAAGCAGGAGGAAGGUGGGGAUGACGUCAAGUCAGUAUGGCCCUUACGCCCUGGGCUGCACACGUGCUACAAUGGUCGGUCCAGAAGGAUGCAAUACCGCGAGGUGGAGCAAAUCCCCAAAGCCGGCCUCAGUUCGGAUUGGAGUCUGCAACUCGACUCCAUGAAGUUGGAUUCGCUAGUAACGGCGUAUCAGCUACGACGCCGUGAAUACGUUCCCGGGCCUUGUACACACCGCCCGUCACAUCAUGAAAGCCGUCUGCACCCGAAGUCGCUGAGCUAACCCGCAAGGGAGGCAGGUGCCGAAGGUGUGGGUGGUAAUUGGGAUGAAGUCGUAACAAGGUA
rnacentral:rRNA from 1 species